ensembl:lncRNA ZNF561-AS1 ZNF561 antisense RNA 1 (head to head)
GGGCGAGGCUCGUGGGCUCCAGUUUCAGCCACGUAGGACCGGGUAGAACACAGAAAUUCUAGUUUCCUCUCGGGUGGGUGCAGAAAGGGCCUGGGGUUGGCUCAGGGAGGGGGAUGCAGAACUAGGUCCAGAGAAAAAGUAGAGAUGGGGUUUCACCAUAUUGGCUAUGCUGGUCUCGAACUCCUGACCUUGUGAUCCACCUGCCUUGGCCUCCCAAAGUGCUGGGAUUACAGGAUGAAAGGCUUCCUAGCACAAACACCACCCCUGGAGUUCCCGGUACAUCAAUACCAGCCUGGGGAUCACGUUCUCAUCAAGAGUUGGAAGAGGGAAAGCUUGAACCAGCUUAGGAGGACCUCAUCUGGUACUCUUGAUGAAUGAAACAGCAAUCUGAAUGGCUGAAAAAGGAUGGACCCAGCACUCCAGGGAGAAAACUUGGCAUUCUUUGGGAAUCUAACAGGAUGCAGUGAACCCAAGCCUUUUGAAGAGCUCACCAAUCAGACUGCCCUUGUCUAUCCAUGAGCAGAUGUUUGAUAGUAUUGCGGAGGCCCUCUAGUGGGUAUGCUGCCAAGCAACUGGAGUGGCACUUGGGCUCUAAUCCAGUUGUCUAUCCCUUUCACCCUGGCAUUUCAUCAGCCAAACAAAAACCAACUAACUCAGAAAAAAAGGAAAGCCCCUCAAGGGUCCUUUGACCCCGAUAUCUACAUAGAUGCUAUCGGGGUCCCCUGAGGGGUACCAAACGAAUUCAAAGCUCGAAAUCAAAUAGCUGCUGGAUUCAAGUCUGUCCUUUUCUUGUGGUCUACUAUAAAUAAAAAUGUAGACUGGAUAAAUUACAUAUACUAUAACCAACAACGAUUUGUCAGUUACACCAGGGAUGCCAUUAAAGGAAUAGCUGAACAAUUGGGUUUCACCAGCCAAAUGGCCUGGGAAAAUAGAAUAGCUCUUGACAUGAUAUUAGUGGAAGUCCAAUGUUGUACCUGUAUCCCCAAUAAUACAGCCCCUGAUGUAACUAUCACUAAGGGUCUAUAAGGCCUCACCACUCUAGGAAAUGAACUAGCUGAAAAUUCGGGAAUGAAUGAUCCCUUUACAGGUGUAAUGGAAAAAAUGGUUUGGUAGAUGGAAAGGACUAAUGGCCUCUAUUCUCACCUCCCUUGUGAUCAUAAUAGGGGUGCUCAUUCUCUUAGGGUGCUGUAUUAUACCCUGUGUCUGCGGACUAGUUCAAAAGCUCAUAGAAACAGCCCUUACCAAGACCUCCCACAACUCUCCCCCACCCUAUUCAGAUAAACGUUUAUUUCUAAGCAACCAAGAAGAGCAGUGAAGCCAGAUCCUGUUAGAAAUAUAUGAAGAGGAAGGACUACAAAAUCAAAAGGGGAAAAUUAUUAGACAAAAUGAGUUGCUCUACAAAGGUCCAACUUCGUUGUCCUUUGUUCUGUAACCUUUGUUCUGUAAACUGCCCUUCCCGCAGAAACUGUCUUUCCCGCCGACCAAAACUGCCCUUCACUAUCACUGUAAUCCAUACCCCUACUCUAUUUGAAACUGCCAAUCGGGAUCAGCUUACAUUGUGUGGUUCAACCACCAGCCAAUGAGGAAAAAACACAGAAGCAAAAGCUAUGAUGCAUUAGGGUUAAAAACCCCUUCCUUUCCCUGUCCAAUG